GAAUUUUUUUUAAUUCUAUUACCAGACGUAAUUUGCUCAAUAUCCUUUCUGUUUAUUUUGUUCUCCUACAUGUGUGCCUUCAUAUUCUUAGCUCUUCUAAAUUUUUAAGUGCUUCCUCUACAUGUACAGGGUCUUUAGCAUUUUUGUAAACAGCUAUCAUUCUGUUGGUGCUGGAAUUUCUUAAGUAUCCAGCUGUUUUGUAUUUGGUUGCUCAACAUUAUGAUCUAGAUUGUCCUCUACCAUUUGUAGCUUCAUGUUAGUAUUUGUUUUGUUAUUGCGAUAUUUCUUUCUGCUACUCUUGGAUUAACUUACUGUGAGGUUGAUGCCAUCAGACAGUGGAAGCUGCUUGUCUUUCUUAGUCUUUUGCUUUAUGAUUUUUGUAUUUUGCUGACAUGGUACUGCUUGCUGGAUGACAUUUCCUUUUAUGGUCAUUAAUUGGGAUAAAAGAACCUCGGGAACCAUGUAAGCUAGGUGAUUUAUACAUUGGGAGGGAAAUAAAAAAGAGAACCUUUGAAGAACAAGAAAGAAAGAUAGUGACGAGAUUAUAAACUGACUGGAUUAAGCCAGCUUUGUAACUUAUGAGAUUCUUGAGUGGCUUUAUAUCAACCUGUGGGUGAUUUUUCCACUGCCUUCUGCCUCUUUUUUCUCGUGUUAACUUGUGGAGUCAUUGCUGAACACUUCACAAGUGGUUCACAAAAAUGUUUCCUUGAGGAGAAAUUGCUGCACCAUCUCACUUAUGAUUGGAUAUUUUUAUUUUAGUACAUUGCAAAACUUUCAAUGAACAAUGAUAAACCAUUUUUGCAUUGCCCUGUUUAUUGUUGAGUGUUUCUUUGACGUGACUAAACCAUUCAGGAUGUAUGGGUUCCAUAUCGAGUUUUGCAUUGACCCAUUUUCUGUCCUAAGCUUUGAGUUGUAUGCUUGUAUCAAAAAAUCCAAUUGUUGUUUUUGUUGUCUCCCUCGGAGAAAUUUUUUGCUAAUUUGACCUUGUAACUAUUCAAAGCCUUAUUCCAGGUUUUGUGGAGGGACAAGAAGUCAGGUGUUCUUUUUACAUUACUUAAAUAUUCUGAACAGCUAAGCAGCCAGAUAAUAUGCUUUGAAGCACUUCGGGUUCAAUGGAAUGUCCGCCACGUGCCGAUUAACCUGUUUUUAUUAAGACAAUACAACUGCAGGAUAUGGAUUGUUGAAUUUAUGCUGUUGUUAACAAUAAUCAAGCCAGUCAAAUUCGAAGGUUGUUGAAGACAUUGUAAUGUCCAGGUUUUGGGUUUUGUUGCAUCUUUUCAAAUGUUUUUUGCUUAUGGCCUUGCUAGUGGUCCCCAACUCAUGUCUGCUACCGUUGGUUCCUAGGAGCCAGAACUAGGUUCACUGAACUUAAGUUUACUUCAGAAGAGCCAAAAAGAUCAAAUAAUACUUCGUGUAGGCCUCUGCACUUGUGCAAAAAGGAUAGUUUAAAUACAAGGCAGGCUAAAGCUGAGGAUUUUCAGGCUUUUUAUGAUCAUGAUUCUUCUAUGGCUGAUAUUACGUCAUCAGAUUCCGACUACAGUGAUAACGAUGGAUCACUUGAAGAUAUCAAUAAUUUUUGUUGCUCAAAGGUUAGAGUAUCUGCCAUUGUUUGUGUACCGAUUUUCAAGGCUUCUCCAGCUAUAAUAGCCCAGUUCUAGGGUCUCUAGCAUUUAUUUAAACACCUAUCAUUCUGUUGGUGAUGGAAUUUCUCAAGUAUCCAGCUGCUUUGUAUUUGGUUGCUCAACACUGUGAUCUAGAUUGUCCUCCACCAUUUGUAGCUUCAUAUGCCAUUGAAUGAUCAUUGACACUGAAUAUUUCCAAUUGGGGCUUCUUUCAUUGUGUGUGUUUGUGGUGAAGGAGCAUUGUCAAGCUGAUCCCAAGUCUUUAACAACUCAAAGGACAAUGCUUUUGCCGACCAAUGAUGUACUACAACCAAGGAAAUUUGAAGCGACUCAGAUGGCAACCUUGUAAUGCGAUCUUUACAUAAAGGUUCCACUUUUGUUGUUUGUAGAUAAUUUUUUUUAACAUCUUUUUUUCUUGGCCAAGUAUUUAACUUCCUGGCCUCUUGCUUGUAAUUUAGUUGACAAUCAUUAGAUUGUGAUGCAUGGAUAUUUUCAUUCUUAUUUAUGACUUAACAUCUAAUUGUCAGAUAUUUUCCUUAACCUCAGUAAUGCUUCUUGCUUAGAUGUGCAACUUUACGAUGCCUAGACAUGAAUGGCAACAGCCUUAGCUUUGGAUGUCAUGAUGGAUGGGCCUGCUAUUGUUUUUCUACAGGUAGCAGAAUGCAAAGAAUCUACUAAAUGUGAAUCUUUUAUGGCGAUUUCUGGUACUCUUGGCCAGAUACUAAUGGAACUUCGUACUGGUAUUCUACACUUAAUUCAGAAUGAAACUAAUCAUCGGUUGCUGGUGUUGGUAUUAAAGAUUCUCAUGUUUUUGAUAUCAUGACACCAUUUAAGUGUCCCUUGCUCAUGGUUGUUAAAAUGUUUGAUUUACCCUCUUCUUUAGCUGAUAUUUGUGCCUUCUCAGUGAAUGCUUUCUGUUGUUCUUAUGAUGCGGAACCUUGUUUUCAGACUCAUCAUGUGCAUUUAUUAAUAAUUUUCUAUCAGAUAUAAGAACCUUGAUCUGUAGAUUCUUUUUCAGAGGUGAAAUAAAGAUAAAGGUGGUAUUUGAGAAUAAAAGAACCUUGGGAACCAUAUAAGCUAGGUGAUUUAUACAUAGGGAGAGAAAGUAAAAAACGAGAAUAUAAAAUGACAUUGAAAGUCAGUUAUGCAACGUACGAGAUUUUGAGUGGCGUUAUAUCAUCCCAGGAGUGAUAUUUCAUUUGCCUUCUUCCUCUCCUUUCUUGUGUCUCACCCCCUCUUAAUCUCCGUCUUUUCUUUUUAUGCUAAUCUUGUUUUAUACACUCAAUAUCAUGAUAUUCUGGUAAUUUUUUUGGAGACUGUGAUAACUUCUUCUUUCAUUGUGUGCGCGCAAAAUGUUGUAUAAAUAUGCUCUUUUAUUAAUCUAGCUUAGUAUAGGUUUGGAAUUCACAAAACAGAUAAGAACAAACAAGAUACUUCAAUCAAUUGUGUUUUCAGUGUACAUUGGGACUUUAUGAAGGAUUUGAUUCUCAAAAAUGUUUGAAUGGUGAAUAAGAAUCUGAGUUUAGGUCCAUAUUGAAAAUCCAGUGUGGUUUUUAUUGUUGCUUUUAGAUGCUUGAAGCAGAACUCAUUUCAUGGUAUCUUGCCUUCAUUAAUUUUAUGUGUUUCCUCCUUUCAUCUUUUGGGAAAAGCUUUCCAUAUGCAUUCUAGAUUUAUUGCACUUUGUUGCUUAUACCUUUGGUAAUAAGAUUAAAAGCAUGGAGUUGGUAACAAGGUUUUAUAAUGUGAGAAUCAGAGUAAGUGAGGCACAGGAAUCAACUCUACCCUUCACCUUCUAAUCAUGGUGCUCAAUUUUGUUUUUUCAAACAUUUUAUAUUAUCACUAAUAUAUAUCUUUCAUAAGAGAUUAGUUUCUUACCUUUAUAACUUUCCUUAUUUAUCCUUACAUUGCAUGCUGUCAUACUCUUGUGACUUUUAAUAAAAUUUUUCUUAUUUCAAACUGGAACGUCCAUACAUACAUAUCAAGGGUGAGAGUGUCUUUAACCUCAUUUUAUGUGGAUAAUUUCAUUCUUAUUUAUGACAUUACAAUAUCUUGUUGGCAGAUGUUUUCCUUAACCUCAGUAACGCUUCUUGCUUAGAUGUGCAAUUUUAUGAUUGCUAGGCACGAAUGGCGUCCGCCUCAGCUCUGGCUUACAUGUGCAAUUGUAGGCCCUUUGAGCUGUUGCACACAAUUACCAUGACUUAAUGUUAGUAAGUUGGGGACAAAUUUCUGCCAUUGUUCAUAAAUUUCUGAGAGAAGCUACUGCUGAAAUUCCAAGAAGACCUAGAGGAACAAGCUGGAAACACUGUUAUGUUUGUUGGGGAAAAAAUGGUUACAGCUGCUAUAAAGGCAUUAGUAUCAUUUUUAUUAUGGUUUCUCUGGAUUUCGCUGGUCUGGAAACUCCAGAAACACAUCCUGUGCACCAAACACAUGGAAGGCAGGCAGAUUGUUCUUGCCAGAGUUAUUAGAUAAAUUAGAUCUUAGGGAAGUUUCAGCUUUUGACACUAUAUUUUGAUCUACCUAUGUAAUAUGUUGAGAUUCCCUUUCUCAAUUUAGUAGUUGCAUGUGCAAGUUGCCAUUUCUGAUUUAAAUUCUUUCUUUUUCUCCUUGUUAGACUCGACAAUUGAUUCAUAACUUUUGACGCUACUUCAUUCUUCAGGUUGUGGAUGAAUGUCUUUGUGCAACAUCUGGACUUAGAGGAAUUGAGGAUCUUCCGGAUGAAAAAUUUUUUGGAUACCCAUUUACUUCUGAUUUAAAAGGACAAAGAAUGUAUCAUCUGCCCCAUCGUAUGGACCACAGAGUCUGGAAGAUACAAAAUAAGAACAAAAUACAUGUCCAUCAGGAGUUGUCAGAAUUGAACAAUUCAGAAGCACAUGCCUCUCAUUCUAUGGCAUACUUCUGCAAUGAUGACGUCAAGCUGUUGACUUGCUGGAUAAGUUCUACUGCAUGCUGCAGUUAUUGGCACUAACAGCAUGUUUGGAUUGAGGUAAGGGGAGAGAAAGGAAAGGAAUGGAAAGGAAACAAAAGGAAAUGGGGAAUCCUUUCAAAUAAAGAAAAGGAAGGCGAGAACUGCAUCAAUAACUUGUUUUGCUGGAAUCACUUCCUCUCUAUUCUUCACUCUCACGAACAAAAAACAGGAUUUUGUUGUUUCGUCUUUAGUACGAGUACCAGCCUGUUGGACUUUGGCGAACAUAUGUGAUUCUUUCUGUCUCUUUGUUGAUAAUUUUGCUUUAAAACAGUCAACAGAUUCAGACACAAACUCCCAAUUAGUGGAGUUGUUAACUGAGAGUGUGCUCUGCGUCUGUCAAAGGAUGGGGACAAGGUAUAAAUUUUUGUAGCAUUUUGUAAUGUUUUAUAUAUUCAUGCCAGAUAGGUGUGAAAGUUAACUUAUAGUUAUUUGGUGAGAUAGGAAUUUUAUUCACGGUUUUGCCUUUUUUGGUGUAUGCUUUUGUUGUAAUUGACAACCUUUUAUGUCUGUUCCGGCAAUUACUUGUAAGUUUGUCAGUUUGUCAGUUUCAGUUUGUCAGUUUUUCAAUUAUUAGAGGAUAUUUAUUUUUCCAUGAGUUUCUUGCUCUAGCUUUAUAUUUACCCGAAUUUCCUCAAUCAGACAUAGAAGGGAAGGGAUGGGAAGGGCAUGGAUAUCUCUCUUUUUACCACCUUGGAAAAUAUAUAUGAAACCUGUAUAUAUCAGUUGUGGUUUUUAAUUUUCUGUUGCUUUGACGUCGUCUCCUAGUAGACGGACGGACGGUUUCAAUUGCUACCCUGCUUAUAAUGGUCUUGCGCCAAUUGUCUGGUUUGUCCUAUGUCCGUAUUUUGUUGGGCAGAGCAAAAAUAUAUUCCGGAAAAGAAAAAGGUAUUCUUUGAAGCAAAUCAGCCACUACCACUAGUAAGUUUCCUAUCCCACAGUAUGAAGCCGGCGAGCCUAUGGCUACCCUGCCACCGUACUAGAUUCUUUGACUCUAUAUGUUGACUUUCUAUUAUUUUUCACUGGAUUCUUGGGACACUUUUUUUUCUUUAAUAUAAUUUA